GGGUCCGCACAAGCGGCGGAGUAUGUGGUUUAAUUCGAUGAUACGCGAGGAACCUUACCAAGGCUUAAAUGUAGAGGGACAGGCGGCGAAAGUUGCCCUUCUUCGGACUCUCUACAAGGUGCUGCAUGGUUGUCGUCAGCUCGUGUCGUGAGAUGUUGGGUUAAGUCCCGCAACGAGCGCAACCCUCGUCCUAUGUUGCCAGCACGUAAUGGUGGGAACUCAUGGGAUACUGCCGGGGUCAACUCGGAGGAAGGUGGGGAUGACGUCAAAUCAUCAUGCCCCUUAUGUCUUGGGCUUCACGCAUGCUACAAUGGCCGGUACAGAGGGCUGCAAUACCGCAAGGUGGAGCGAAUCCCAAAAAGCCGGUCUCAGUUCGGAUUGAGGUCUGCAACUCGACCUCAUG
rnacentral:rRNA from 1 species